rnacentral:rRNA from 1 species
AUGCAACCGAUGACAUACCUAACCUCGUCGCCGGUCGCCCGCAGGCGGCUCCUCUAUUCGGCCGCUUACUGCUGCGCCUCCAGGCGGAGACCCGAGAUGUUGUGGCGGUGGCCUUGUGGGAGAGAAGGGGGGCGGGGCAACCCCGCGGCGCGCGUGAACCCACGGCCGCCACCCCCGACGGCGACGGCAGAGGGGAGGGCCUUGCCUGCUCCGUGUAAUGCAAUCUGGUCCCUCAAAACGAAAACGUUGUGCAAUCUGGUCCCCCGAUCCCCGGGAGCGCGGUCUACCGCUGUAGGAAACGCAUGCGAAGCGCAGCUGUGCAUUUUGGCCCCGUGCCCGUGCGCCGUCAUUUCGCGGUGA